GACGAACGCCGGCGGCGUGCUUAACACAUGCAAGUCGAGCGGUAAGGCCCUUUCGGGGGUACACGAGCGGCGAACGGGUGAGUAACACGUGGGUGACCUGCCCUCAGCUCUGGGAUAAGCCCGGGAAACUGGGUCUAAUACUGGAUAUGACUCCAUGACGCAUGUUGUGGGGUGGAAAGCCUUGUGCGGCUGAGGAUGGGCCCGCGGCCUAUCAGCUUGUUGGUGGGGUGAUGGCCUACCAAGGCGACGACGGGUAGCCGGCCUGAGAGGGCGACCGGCCACACUGGGACUGAGACACGGCCCAGACUCCUACGGGAGGCAGCAGUGGGGAAUCUUGCGCAAUGGGCGAAAGCCUGACGCAGCGACGCCGCGUGAGGGAUGACGGCCU
rnacentral:rRNA from 1 species